AAUGGCGUAGUUGGUAGCGCAUCGGUCUCAUAUACUUUCAAUCCGGGGGUCGUGGGUUCGAAUCCCUCUUG
rnacentral:ncRNA from 16 species